rnacentral:rRNA from 1 species
CCAGACUCCUACGGGAGGCAGCAGUGAGGAAUAUUGGUCAAUGGGCGAGAGCCUGAACCAGCCAAGUCGCGUGAGGGAGGACGGCCCUACGGGUUGUAAACCUCUUUUGCCGGGGGACAAACGGCGGCACGCGUGCCGUCCUGAGGGUACCCGGAGAAAAAGCAUCGGCUAACUCCGUGCCAGCAGCCGCGGUAAUACGGAGGAUCCGAGCGUUAUCCGGAUUUAUUGGGUUUAAAGGGUGCGUAGGUUGUUUUUUAAGUCAGCGGUGAAAGUUUGUGGCUCAACCAUAAAAUUGCCGUUGAAACUGGAAGACUUGAGUGUGUUUGAGGUAGGCGGAAUGCGUGGUGUAGCGGUGAAAUGCAUAGAUAUCACGCAGAACUCCGAUUGCGAAGGCAGCUUACUAAGCCAUAACUGACACUGAAGCACGAAAGCGUGGGGAUCAAACAGGAUUAGAUACCCCCGUACA